CCUACGGGAGGCAGCAGUGGGGAAUAUUGCACAAUGGGGGAAACCCUGAUGCAGCGACGCCGCGUGAGUGAAGAAGUAUUUCGGUAUGUAAAGCUCUAUCAGCAGGGAAGAAAAUGACGGUACCUGAUUAAGAAGCCCCGGCUAACUACGUGCCAGCAGCCGCUGUUAUACGUAGGGGGCAAGCGUUAUCCGGAUUUACUGGGUGUAAAGGGAGAGUAGACGGCAGCACAAGUCUGGAGUGAACAGCCGGGGCUUAACCCCGGAACUGCUUUGGAAACUGUGCAGCUAGAGUGCAGGAGAGGUAAGUGGAAUUCCUAGUGUAGCGGUGAAAUGCGUAGAUAUUAGGAGGAACACCAGUGGCGAAGGCGGCUUACUGGACUGUAACUGACGUUGAGGCUCGAAAGCGUGGGGAGCAAACAGGAUUAGAUACCCCGGUAGUC
rnacentral:rRNA from 1 species